rnacentral:lncRNA from 1 species
UUCAAAAGAUCCAACUGAUGCUGAGGUAGAAAUUGAAUGUCGGCGCCCCCUAAUCCUCCUCUGCGGACUCUUGCGAGGAUGUCUCUUCAGUCUCCUGCAACACACGGAAGGCAGGUUGUCUGUCAUGUAAACAGCCUCGAAAACCACCCUUGAAGUUUCUGUGAAAACAUUCAACAUCUUGGAAGGGGUGAGCGCCACAGGACAACGGGGUUUCCCAGGAUUCCCUCGCCCCUGCGCCACACCACACGUGGAAGAUCCCCACAGGAUGAAGAUGCUGGCCUUCUCUACGGAUGCUGUACAGGUUCCCGUACAGCCCAUCCAUCUCUAUCUUCCCACUGUUCUCCCCUCACUCCCAUGGCUCCCUACUAAGGAAAUUCAUACAUUUCUUGCCUUUAAUCCCUUGUCCUGAGUGGUCUCUGUGCUCACCGCCUGAUGCCGUUGGGACUGUGACCACCCACGAUACUCAAUUUUCACCCAUGGUACAUUGCUUCGCUACACGGAAGAAGUUAUUUAGAACAGCUCAUUUCGAGCCUGCUUAUACAUACAAUGUUUAUGCAUAUUUACAUCAAGGCAUGAUUACUAGUCAGAGAUCUCAAUGCUGAGCAUUUCUUGCCCAGCUGGAGAGAGCGCUACGUUCACAGCUCAAAACAAUCCACGCCCCUAGUGCAGAAUGAGAUUGGCCGCAGAGACUCGGUCCAGCCACCUGACCCAGCCUGACACAUUUUUGUCUUCUGUAUGGAACACAUUUUCAGAAAGGUUUCUAUGUAAUGUCUAAAUCCUCUCAUUGCCUGGAAGAAAAUUUUUCUUCUCCAAAGCAAAAAAGCCAAACCUCUGUGGCCUGAAAUGUCCAAACGUUGAGAUAAAAUAACAUUUUCUUCUUUUUAACUUGAUUCCCUCAGGUAUUCUGUUAUUGUAAUAGAAAGCUAACACACUUUUUAGAUAUGAUUUUAUCUUUUAUAUAUCUCUUUAUCUUUUUUCUUAUAAGUCAGUUCAUGUGAUGAAAGCUAACAAGAAUUAAACCAAGAUAUAAGAACCUAGAUAAUGAGUUCUGAUGAGUCUCAAGUAAAUCAAAGAAAAUGACUGUAGGCUUUUAGGAAUACAAGGAGACCCCAACUCCAACUGACUAGCAAGGAUAUAAGUUUUUGAAUAUAGCCAGCGCCGUGAUGAUACACCUUCCACAGUGGUAAAUUCUGGGAGUCAAAAGUUGCUCAGAGUCCGUCUUUCUACCCUGUUAUCUUACGUCCCCCUCCCUUCUCCCCCUCCGUCCCUCCCUCUCAGAACCACAAGAGUGAGAGGUGUUGAUUUAGUAAUGAAAUGUUCAGCCAAACAGUGGUUCCCAACCUUCCUAAUGCUGCGGCCCUUUAAUACGUUCCUCAUGUUGUGGUGAUGCCCCCAACCAUAAAAUUAUUUUUGUUAUUUCAUAACUGUCAUAUUGCUACUGUUAUGAAUCCUAAUAUAAAGGUUUGAUGUGCAGGGUAUCUGACAUGAAGCCCUCUGUGAAUGAGUCAUUUGACAGCCCCACCACCACCACCACCACCACCACCACCACCACCACCACCACAAAGGAGUCAAGACCCACUAAGCCAGAGGACGAAAACAAACAAGCAAGCAAGCAACACUAACACACUCUUCCUUCAUGCUGAGCAAAUUUCCCUGUCAGGCAUUACCUGCUUUACCUUACGGUGAGAUGGCUCUCCUGGCUCGUCUGAGCUAUCCCUGGAAACUGCUGAGUGCAUUCACUUGGUCACGGACUGAAGAGUGAAGGAAGCCAUUCCUGACACCCAGAUGCUCUUCCGACUCCCUGUCAGUUCCGCCAGGAGGAUCCCAACUAUAUGAACAAGCUGUCUGUUGAAAUGAGAUGCUUGUCUCCCUACAGAUGCAGUGGUGUAAAGUCCUUGGCUCUAGAUAACACGCUUUGGUAUGUCUGGGCUUGCUGCCACCUAUGUGUAUGCACCUCUGAUCUUGGGAGGGAAUGUCACUGCUGUAACAUUUUUUUUUUAAAUAAAUUUGCUCUUUCAGGAUGUGGAAGCCAGUCAGUCAGGUGGAGCUAUUACAAGGCAGCCUUUUUGGGCCUUGGGGUGGGGGAGGGAUUCCCUCCAAGAAAUUUAAUAUAGUUUGGAGGUUACAGUCUCCUGGUACCUGGGGAGUUCUGCCAGGAAAGGACUUUCAAGAUAGCGUUAUAAGAUACGGUUUGGGAAUAAGAUAGACCAAAACUGGGGUCUGGGACUCACUCUACGCAAGGAGUUGCAUGACUUCUUAAGCAGUUUAAAUGUCACUUUCCUCAUCGGUGUAACAUGGAUGCCUCGCUGAAUUGUUGGGGGUAACUAAAUUAGAAGUCACUAAAGUGCACAGAGCAACUGCGGGCGGUAGGAAUGUAAUAAACACCACUUAAUAGCACUGGGGUGGGCUGCGCUGGUAGCAGCAGUGGCAGCAGGGGCAGCAAUAGUGUUUAUGAUUUCAUUGUUCAAUAUCAAAGACCUUGGUGGCACCCUUGGGAGCGAUCACAGGCCUCUGCACUAUGCACUUGUGGUGCACACGGUCCUGUAGUUUGCCGGUCUGUCACUGGAGUCUUGUCAUUGUGGUGGCCUUGAAGAUUCUGGCUUCCAGCCUUCCAGGAAUAUCCUUGGCCACCAAAACAAGAGUGUUUCGUGUGCUUUGUUCAGCUCCGCCCCCAAGCCCCACACAAGACAAUGGAAGUUUCCUUUGUAUCGUGUGAUUUAAAGUUCACAGGCACACAGUUCA